UUUUUUAUUUUCUAAUUAUUCAACCCUAUGUACAUUCACAUGCUGUGCACUGGCCAUUUUAUUAUGUGUAGAAUUGUUUAAAAGUAACUGAACAUGGUAAUCACAGUUUUGUGAAUUGCAACAUGCUGCUACAUUUUUAUUUUGGGGUUUUAAUUAUUAAUAACAUUAAAUAAUAGAAACCUUAAGUUUUUUUUAAUACUAACUAGCUUUACAUAUCUGGUGUGCACCUUUAAUAAGGCUUACUUGUACAUUAUGUAAACUUGUAUUUUAUGCCAAUCAGUCCCCCUCCCCACACAUGUUGAUGUCAGCAUUUAUUUGUAUUCCUUACAUUUUACAGCAAUAAUCCAUAAGUCUGUCUUAUGGAUAUCUGAGGUAUGAAGGAAUAUGUGAAGAACACGUUUCCCCCCUUCGGGGCCGAAUUUUUAAAACGUUUGAAAUUGGCUUUUCAUAUUCCAUACAUUUUAAAAAAUCUUAUGUACAUCUGUUUCUUCCUUAUAUGAAAAAACAUAAAAACAUGUUUUGCACGCCGAAUCUUAAAAAAUUGCUUCUUAAAUGACAUCUUCGAUACAAAAGUAAUAAGCUCUUAAGAUUUGAUAUCUGUGUCUCUAAUAGCUUCGGGCGAUGAUGUGUAGGUGAAUAAAUCAGGAAUUCUUCCUUUAUGUAUAGAUUUAUAAUAAAACAUCUGAACAAAUAAAUAUAUACACCAAUUAAAAAGAAAACUAUUUCAGAAAAACUAAAAAAAUUAAUUAAUUUACAUUCAGUAAUGCGCACCAAGUUCGUAUCGUUUUAAACGCGAGGCGUUUUAAAAAAAUCGGCUUUGACCACGCCCAGCUCCUUGGAGUAAACACGCUGCGCGUGAAUCUGCGCAAACGAUCAGGGAGGAAUCAGGAGGAAACUAGCAUCUGAGGGGCUAGACGCUUGUGCGAUUUUCUAUCUGGAAUGACUGAGCAUGAGUGAGUCCUAAGUUCGAGUAAAGAUGGCAGUUAGAUCAGUUGUGGGUUGAUAGCAUAAGUCCAAAACAGUCGACGACUGGUACUCAUACUGUGGCGAGCAAUUCACGGACAGAAUGCUGCGUAGAAUUCACUGCACUGUGGAAAUUGACAAAACAAAAGUCGGCAGGAGGAACUACAACGUGGAAAGAGUAAUUUAUGGCUCAUCGUCGAUUAGCCGUUGACGAGUAAAAAUGCGAGAGGUUCUUUCCCGAAGCGCCAACGGGUGCGUUGCAGAAGAAAACCCAUAAAUUCUGAUAUUGUUCAUGUAUUAGAUCUGCUUCUGAAAAGUUUUCGAACCAUAUCCUCUCUCUGUACCUGAAGUACCAAAUCUGAAAUGGUAGUAUCAUUGACACAGAGAAAAUCUGAUGGCAUAUAAAGGAAAGAUAUGGUGGGGAUGUCCUAGUAUAGUGCAGUGUAUUUCUGCAGUACAAUAUGAGAGAUAUAACUGCACAGAUAGAAGAGAAGGGAAUGACAGCUCCCGAAAAGUAGAUAUAUUUUAAAGAUGUAAGUGUUCUGGCAACAGUGCAGAAAGAAUUAUUCAACUGUAACUGUAAAGAAAGUAGUUGCACAUAUGAGAUUACCACAUACCAUUACAAGGUCCCAGGUCGAUUACAAGGUCUAUGUGAUUCACUCGUGUUGCAGUCACAGAGAAAGCUAAAGUUGGCUGAGUUACAUAGAAAAGCAAGAUGACUGUUUACUAAGUGACAAAAUAAAGCUUCAAAGGUGUUAUUCACAGUGUUGUGCCUCGGCUACAGGUAUCGUUGAUGAAUGACGGCUGACAUGUUGAGCAUUUGUUAUGAAGAACAUUAUCUUUGCCUACAGAUGAAUGCUAUGUUCAGAUUAAGUGGCAUCUGCUGGCCAUUUUUUGUAAUAAUUUUUUCUAAGAUUUCAAUAAAACUUCAUUUCAAACAUGCA